UAGACCAGGGACGCUGGAAUGCCCCCUGAUCGAAAGGUCCGCCGCCUGAGGAUGGGUCUGCGGCCGAUUAGGUUGUUGUUGGGGUAACGGCCCAACAAGCCUUUGAUCGGUACGGGUUGUGAGAGCAAGAGCCCGGAGAUGGAUUCUGAGACACAAAUCCAGGCCCUACGGGGCGCAGCAGGCGCGAAAACUUUACAAUGCGAGAAAUCGUGAUAAGGGAACCCCGAGUGCCCGUAAAUUC
rnacentral:rRNA from 1 species